rnacentral:tRNA from 1 species
UUUAAUAUGGCAGAAUAAUGCAAUGAAGUUAAAUUUCAUUUAUAAAGUAUAACUUUUAUUAAAU